GACGAACGCUGGCGGCGUGCUUAACACAUGCAAGUCGAACGGUGAAGCGCCUUCCUUUUUGGUGGGUGUGGAUGAGUGGCGAACGGGUGAGUAACACGUUAGUAACCUGCCCCCUUCUUCUGGAUAACCGCAUGAAAGUGUGGCUAAUACGGGAUAUUCUGGGUCUGUCGCAUGAUGGGUCUGGGAAAGAUAUUGUUUCGGUGGGGGAUGGGCUCGCGGCCUAUCAGCUUGUUGGUGGGGUGAUGGCCUACCAAGGCGGUGACGGGUAGCCGGCCUGAGAGGGUGGACGGUCACACUGGGACUGAGACACGGCCCAGACUCCUACGGGAGGCAGCAGUGGGGAAUAUUGCACAAGGGGCGCAAGCCUGAUGCAGCGACGCCGCGUGAGGGAUGGAGGCCUGCGGGUUGUGAACCUCUUUCGCCAGUGAAGCAGGCCUGCCUCGUUUGUGGGUGGGUUGACGGUAGCUGGAUAAGAAGCGCCGGCUAACUACGUG
rnacentral:rRNA from 1 species